CUGCUGACACAGGCCUCCUUGUUUUCAAACUCCAGUCUGAAGGAAGAUUUAAGCCCCAUUUUCUGCUUCUGGUAACUUUUAUGGUUUAUUUCACUGUCGUCCUUCAUCACUGUCUACUUUUACAUAGACAGUGAAAGGUUUGACGCCUGUCUUAUAUUCUUUCUUUUUUUUUUUAGCAGUUUGACGGGGAAAAAACAUUAAUCUGUCAGCAUCCAGUAACGUCUCUGCGCCUGUUAACAUCUGUAGGUGGAGCCGGAGCAGUAGAUAUCAAUUUCCUCGGCACCUCCAGCGCUCGGACAGGUGGAGACAGAUGGUGCGAUGCUGGCGGCCAUUCAGAAAAAGUUUUCUGAACCUUGGACACUGAUGAAUAGCAAACAAAGUGUCUGUGAGUCGAACAGAAGAAAUCCGGCGGCUUCAUCAAAGAGUCAAAGAGGGAGCUGGAGAGGAACAGGAAGUGGAGUCAUUAGGAGUAAACGAGCAGAUUUAAUGUGCCGCAGCAUUUAUCAGCACACAGAGAGCCACCUGUCCUCACCUGGACGCUCCGCAGCGCCCAGCACUUCCUGCAGGAGUCGUUCACAGACGGCCGACUUCCACAUUUAGAUUCAACUUACAGACAGACUGUGAAAAAUCGUUAGCACAUGAAUUCACGAAACGAAUGUUUUAAAAUGCUCUUAAGUUUUACUUUUUGGUUUUUUUCUUUGAUCAAUGUGUUUUUAUUUCAUCCCAGCGUUCAUUUGUCUCUGUGAAGUUUAAAACUUCGAGACGAAUGACUUUAACGACACGUCUGUUACGUCCCGCCUACAAACAAAUAGAUAUUAUUCACCAGGCGGCCAUUUCCUUCCUACGUCAGGUGAAGUGGGAGGUUUUGAGUUAUGUUGAUGCUGCCGUGCUGCAGGUUGCUCAUCGUGUAACUGGAAGUAAUCUGACUCAUUUUUAUGAUUUCAAAGUUUUUAUGAAAAUCUAGAGGAACACUGAGCCACGUUUCAAGGAAAAUGGCGGCCAUGCUCACACAAAUCUUAUGGCCCAGGCCAGGAAAAAGCAAAAAGGCAACAAAAAGAGGUGAGAGAGCAAACAUCUUGGUGUCAUUGCCGUGGUUUUUAAUGUGGUUAUUUGCUGUUUAGUGUUGAAAGAGCCUUUCCCCAUAUCUGUUGUUUUGUUAUCUUGUUUGGAUUUUCUGUUCCUGUUUCCACCUCCAGCAGGUUUAUUAAAGUUACUUCUUUCUUAA